rnacentral:piRNA from 1 species
UCCAGUCACACCUUCAUGCCGGAAGCU